GCGGGUAGUAAUGUAAACAAUAAUAAUAAAUAUAAAUAAUUAUCUUGCAGUAUAAUACAGAAGCAUCGUCUUGUAUAACCCAGCGGCUUUGUCUGUGGACGUAUGAAGAGGGCAGCGAACUUUCACAGCAAAUCUGUGAGAAACGUCGGAUGAGAGAAGUGGCACUUGAUGAUGUCAUCCCAGGCUUAAUACGAAGAGUCUUAGGUUUGAUUCCUCGACAGAGGAGAACCCAACCAGCUAUCAUGUCUCUGACUCUGCUCCAGCCAAAGGGAUGACAAAUACUGUGAUGUCGUCGCCUGAUCCCAGUCUUUCGUUGGGUAGCCUCCAGCCUCGUUCCUUUAGAACCCCACGUGACCUCAUUAGAAGAUCCUGAGCGGCCAGUGUGUACCUUUUACACACAAAAAUGAACUUUAAUUUAAUGUUUAUGCAAGUAACUUUGUCAUUUGUUUUAAAUUAAGCUUGUGCUUUCUAAUAAUUAAACAUGUAAA